rnacentral:rRNA from 1 species
CGGGGGGGGGGCAAGCGUUGUUCGGGAAUUACUGGGGCGUAAAGGGCGCGCAGGCGGCCCGGCCAGUCCUACGUGAAAUCCCACAGCUCAACUGUGGAACUGCGUGGGAUACUGCCAGGCUUGAGUCCCGGGAGAGGAGAGUGGAAUUCCCAGUGUAGCGGUGAAAUGCGUAGAUAUUGGGAGGAACACCGGUGGCGAAGGCGGCUCUCUGGACCGGCACUGACGCUGAGGCGCGAAAGCUAGGGGAGCAAACGGGAUUAGAUACCCCCGGUAGUCCUAGCCCUAAACGAUGAGCACUUUGUGUGGCGGGUAUCGACCCCUGCCGUGCAGAAGCUAACGCAUUAAGUGCUCCGCCUGGGGAGUACGGUCGCAAAGGCUG